CCUACGGGGGGCAGCAGUGAGGAAUAUUGGUCAAUGGCCGGAAGGCUGAACCAGCCAAGUCGCGUGAGGGAAUAAGGCCCUAUGGGUCGUAAACCUCUUUUGUCAGGGAGCAAAGGCGUCCACGUGUGUACGCGCGGAGAGUACCUGAAGACAAAGCCUCGGCUAACUCCGUGCCAGCAGCCGCGGUAAUACGGAGGAUGCGAGCGUUAUCCGGAUUUAUUGGGUUUAAAGGGUGCGUAGGCGGAGUGUCAAGUCAGCGGUAAAAUUUCGGGGCUCAACCCCGUCGUGCCGUUGAAACUGACGCCAUUGAGUGAGUGAGAAGUAUGCGGAAGGCGUGGGGGAGCGGUGAAAUGCAGAGAUAUCACGCAGAACUCCGAUUGCGGAGGCAGCAUACCGGAGCCCGACUGACGCUGAGGUACGAAAGCGUGGGUAUCGAACAGGAUUAGAUACCCCUGUAGUC
rnacentral:rRNA from 1 species